GUGCUCGCUUCGGCAGCACAUACACUAAAAUUGGAACAAUCAGAGAAGAUUAGCAUGGCCCCUGCACAAGGAUGACAUGUCCAGCUGGGACGUGGCAGUUUCGUGU